GCCCGCCUAGCUCAAUCGGAUAGAGCGUCAGACUUUUAUCUAGGUGGAUGGAUCUGAAGGCUGCGAGUUCGACCCUCGCGGUGGGCU